UACGUAGGGAGCAAGCGUUGUCCGGAAUCAUUGGGCGUAAAGCGCGCGUAGGUGGCCUCAUAAGUCCGCUGUGAAAGUCAAAGGCUCAACCUUUGAAAGCCGGUGGAUACUGUGGGGCUAGAGUACGGAAGAGGCGAGUGGAAUUCCUGGUGUAGCGGUGGAAUGCGCAGAUAUCAGGAGGAACACCAAUAGCGAAGGCAGCUCGCUGGGACGUCACUGACGCUGAGGCGCGAAAGCGUGGGGAGCGAACAGG
rnacentral:rRNA from 1 species